rnacentral:lncRNA from 1 species
AUGAGUUACAGAGGGACAAUGCAUUAUCAGGAGAGGAGAGGCAAGGGGCAGGUCCAGCCAUUCACCCACAUGUUCCUUCGUGCUUUCUCUGCCCAGGGAAUUGUGUGGUUGUGGAGAAAUUGCUUUCAGGAGUUCAAUGUGUUCACUGGGCUGAAAAGAAUCACCCUCCUCACCACUUUCCUCAAAAGAGCAGGACAAGUGUUUUUUUCUCACGCUCAAUCUUGGCUCUGUGAGCAUUUCUCAUUACAUGCUGUAGUCACAGUGCAAAGUAGAAGAGUGCAAGUGCUAAAUAUUUACAGUGCAAUCGAACAUCAAAGAGAUUUUAGCUCAAGACAGGUAAGUGUUUUACUUAGGGUGAGUGUCCAUAUAAUCUAAACAAGAGCAGAGUGCUUAAUGUCCUGCUUAAAAGAUUCAUAGGUAAAAAGCAGUUUCUGAAUUCAUCCUACAAAUAUGUAAAUAAUCCUUUUUGUGUUUGAACAUUAGUUUUUGCACUCAUGCGUCCAUUUGCCCAGCAUAGCCAAGGAGCAUCCCAUUCAUAUCCAUUUCACAGAAUCACAGAAUCGUAGGGGUUGGAAGGGACCUCCAGAGAUCAUCGAGUCCAACCCCCCAUUUCCCUUGCCUAUGCCUACAUUAUCCUCUGCUACUUCUCUGCUAGUACUGCUGAAGUUAAACAACUCUCAGCACUGCAUGUCCAAAUCCCUGCUCAGUAGUUUAUAUAACUGUGCUUGCAAAAAUUGGCUUAAAAUGCUUUGUAAGCUGAACCUUUCAAGAUCUAUUACGUAGUUCUCUGGUAAUGUGCUGUAUUACAGCAAAACAGCUCUUCUUGCAGUAGAAAGCUGUCAAGCUUUUGUUAUUCUUAUUCCCUUUGUCUUGAAAACUGGGAUGGAAAAAAAUAAACAAACAGUUGUAGGUUCCA